rnacentral:rRNA from 1 species
AGCGAACGCUGGCGGCAGGCCUAACACAUGCAAGUCGAACGAAGCCUUCGGGCUUAGUGGCGGACGGGUGAGUAACACGUGGGAACGUACCUUUUGGUUCGGAAUAACGCAGAGAAAUUUGCGCUAAUACCGCAUGAGCCCUUCGGGGGAAAGAUUUAUCGCCGAAAGAUCGGCCCGCGUUGGAUUAGGUAGUUGGUGGGGUAAAGGCGCACCAAGCCUAAGAUCCAUGGCUGGUCUGAGAGGAUGAUCAGCCAAACUGGGACUGAGACACGGCCCAGACUCCUACGGGAGGCAGCAGUGGGGAAUCUUGCGCAAUGGGCGAAAGCCUGACGCAGCCAUGCCGCGUGAAUGAUGAAGGUCUUAGGAUUGUAAAAUUCUUUUACCAGGGACGAUAAUGACGGUACCUGGAGAAAAAGCCCCGGCUAACUUCGUGCCAGCCGCCGCAGUAACAC